rnacentral:misc_RNA from 1 species
CUCCCCUAAUAUUUGGUGCCUCACAAUCUUUAAUUGUUCGUUUUGCAAUUUGAGCAUCCUUCGACGAAGGUUUUAUGGAAAAAUAUUUGAGAAUUUGUGGUAACAUAUUGCUUGAAAAUGGUAUGGUUUCAGCAAUUUUUCUCGGCAAGAAACUGGAGGUUUUGUUUGAUUUAGUAAAAUUAAGGGUCAUGUUUUUGUGAGGAAGGAGAUCAUCAUAUAAGAAGAAUAUAGUGGUUGUACUUUGUAUGAAACUUGUAUUUCUCAAUUCAUUCCAAUAUCCACGUUGAUAGUCAAUUCCGUUAUAUUCUACCUGGGAGUUGAUAGAGUCA